UAACAGUGUAGGUGGCAACUGGGGCG
rnacentral:piRNA from 1 species